GACUCGCUCUCUCUCUCUCAAAACUAAACAUAAAAAAAAAAAGAAGUCAAAUCCUAACAUAUGAAACUUCUAUGUGAGCAACCUGACACCUAUUUCCACUUUCGUCACAGAUAAAGAAAAGAUCCACUGAACACAGCCUUUUGGAAUAUUAACGUGAAAUGCAUAGGAACUUGUAAUGGCUUAUGAAAAAAUAAUGUAGAAAGUGAUUUCUCUGCAGAGUUACAGAAGAUAGGAAUCAGAGCUUGCACAACCAGUAGGGAAAAUAUAUAAUUUAGUACAAAAGGCCUGGUGCUCCUUCAGAAUCGGCGGAGAGCCUCCACGUCUGAGGUUACUGAGAUUCUACGGGGAAAGUUCCAAAGCCCAGAUGGCUGGGAAGCACCAGGAGCUCUGAGGAAAAGGUGAAGGCAAGCCAAAUGCUGAGGCAGGAGCGACAACCCGGGAGAGGAAUGAAGAUGAGCCAGCUUCUGAGGAGAAAGGUCAUGGAGGUUUCCAGUGAUGAGGCAAAAGCUUUAGAUGAAUUAAUGUGCACAUUCGGCACGAGAUACUGAACACCUGUGUGUCACAGGAAAAAACUGAGGGAUGAGGCCCCCACCCCAGAAAAGAACGAGACAGAUGCCUGUUGUGUUGGCGCUCACGUUUAUCGAUUAGGAAAAUCUGAGCACAAGGGAAACAUGCCGAGCAUUCUGAGAAAAAUGUGAACAGUGCUCUUGUCUGUGUUGAAGACAGUGACUGCGGGGAGGCAAGAUGCCAGAAUCAGAAUUGCAAGCUGAA